rnacentral:rRNA from 1 species
AACAGACCAACCCUUGAAGGCUUCUGCACCUGUCAGGAUAUUCUAGUCCAACAUCGAGGUCACAAACCUUUUUUUCGAUGAGAACUCUCAAAAAAGAUUAUGCUGUUAUCCCUACGGUAACUAAUUCUUUUAAUCGUAACUAGUACGGAUCUAGAUUUAGAUAUUUUUAUAAAUAAAAGAAGCUUUAGUUGUUCCUUAGUCGCCCCAACCAAAAUUUUUUAUGAAAAGAAAUGUGUAUAUCGCUUUCUUUAUCUCAUAAAUGACUUUUAAGCUCGAUAGGGUCUUCUUGUCUUUUAAUAUUAUCUAGGUUUCUUCACCUAGAAAAUAAAUUCCAGAGCUUUCUGUAGAGACAGGGUUGCCCUUGUCAAACCUUUCAUACUAGCCCUCAAUUAUAGGGCAAAUGAUUAUGCUACCUUUGCACGGUCAGAGUACCGCGGCCGUUAAAUACUA